rnacentral:lncRNA from 1 species
UAUUUUUUAAUUUUAAAAUUAAAAUUAUUAUAACACAAUAAUAAAUAUCUUAAAAAUAUUAAUAAUAUAAUAUUUAUAUUUUUAUAAGUAAAAAAUAUGCAUCUAAAUUAAAAUAAAAGAUUAUUUUAAUUUUCUAAAACAAAAAUUGCUUGUGGAUGAAUCGCGAUGACCGCUGGGUUUCACCCUUUCCAUAUGAGACCGAACCUCAAUAAGUAGUGCCGACUCAAAAUCCAUAAAGUCUCCCUAAUAGACCGGACUAACAUCUUUGACCCCGAUUCAGGUCCACAGAGUAGACCGAAUCGCUCAUAAACCUAAGUCCAUCCACUACAGACUUAGUUCGGUAACGUGACGUGGGAAAGGACAGUAAAUAGUGCUGAUCCAAAAUCCAUAAAGUCUCUCUAAUAGACCGGACUAACAUCUUUGACCCCGAUUCAGGUCCACAGAGUAGACCGAAUCGCUCAUAAACCUAAGUCCAUCCACUAUAGAUUCAGUUCGGGUGACGUGACGUGGGAAGGGACAGUAAGCCCAAUCACUUUGCAGCCCUGUUCCCACAGGCACCGGAAAAAUUAAAUGGUCAUCUAGCGUGGAAAAAACGUCUGACGCUUUCG